AUAUGUUCAAUAAUUUAUUGAUUGUUUUAAUUUCUUGAUAUUAAUAAGUAAUUUUAACAUUAAGAUAAUAUAAUAACGAGGGAUUCAAUUGAUUGCGAUAAAUAAUCAAUUUUUGCCGGCUCUUCCCGAUUGAUAUAAAGGAUCGAGAGAGAAAAGAGCGCGAAGAAAGUCUCGGUCAGUAGGUAGAAAGCUGGUUGUCACGGAGAAACAUUUUCUAUCGUCUUCGAGCGAUUUACUUCUGGAGGUCAAGCUCGCCCACGUAACCAGCUUCACUUCAGGAUUUCAGGGGCGUAUCCACGGGGCGUGUUCACGGAGUCGGUAGGAUCGACUAGGGGCGGAGUCGUUUCCCCACCGUUUCCAACGCGCGAUUUUUGCUCUCGGCAGGAACGCACACGCAUAUCCGCUAUGUAUAUACAUAUAAGUCGCUGAUUUCUCGUGUGAGUAACACCGUGACGUCGCAAGUUCGGACACGGGUCACAGACAGUAGACUUUGCCGAGUUUUCUUCGGCCGAUCGCCGGCUAAACGAUUUCUUAUGCCGCGACAUUGAACGCUUCGUUGUUGAGAAACCGCGUUACAUUUUUUUUUCUUAUAUUCUCUGUCUUUUCUUUUAACAGAGUGCGCUUCCUUAUUUGACGAACUUAUACGAAAAACAAAUCUUGUGAGUGCAUCAAGCGUCAACGAGACUUUUCAAUCAUUGUUCGGUGUUUUCUAACCUUAAUUUUUCGUUAAGUUACUAGGACUCGAAUGCGACAUAUUAAAUGUAACUUUUUUUCAUUCUUUUUUUUCAUUAUUUCAUUUCUUCUGUUCUUUCUGGAUAUAAUAUUUCCAUAGUUUGGUGGCGCGAUUGAUUGCACAUAUAGAUAUAUCUUACGUACGGUGAACGAGGGAAUAUCGCAAAUUCCGUGACGGUACGGAUGGCAAAGGCAUUCUGGCGUAGCAAUUACCUGCAGGGCGAGGGAGUCAAGUAGCAAUAUCUGGACCUGUUAUCCAGUUCGGUUAUCCCGACUGGAAUGCUUUGUGUCGCCGGCAAUCUGCAUUUCUACCUGUUUGAAUGGAAGUCUAUGAGAUUCGCGGCAUGAUUUCAAAUGAAAUCGACUCUUUGUCCUCCGGCCGGAAAUUUCCAAUUCAAUAACGUGCUCAGGGAAACGCUGCAGAAACGACUGAUUGACUGAUAUCUACCCAGAAUUGGAUGGGACGCGAAAAAAUGGAGAAGUUUUUCUAUCCAUCGUCCAUCAUCGGAGAAACUUGAAUACCUUACAUUUAGUCAAGAUUUUAGUUUUGAGUUGAAUUAUCGAAUCUUAUUAACGUUUUCCAACGUUUAAGUAUUACCUUAAAAUUUCAUAAAAUUUAAUUUUUUAAAUUUUCAUCAUUUAAGAAACAAGUAUUAAUAAAAUUAUUUGAAAUAUUGAAUUUCAAAGAAUAUAUGUUUCAAGAAAAUGUAUUGUAUUUUAGCAAGGAUUUAAGGGAAUUCUUCCAUUGGAACCUAUGAAUGACGAAUGCCAAGGAACUUGCUCGACAACCCUUUGUAAUGCAUUAGAAUUUCGCAGCUAUCAACAAGGGAGGAAGACGACAUUAGCAUCAAGGCUAAGGACACCCUUGCCUCGCAUUCGCGUCUUAGAUCGAAACAGCCCCAUGUUUUCGUUGGCCCAGUAUUCAUGAACGAGGUUUCAACGUGGGGCAUUCGACUUCCUUCUCCUUCAUGAAUUUACAAUCGACCGAAGGAUUCGCGCAAACGAAGCUUACGUGUGCCAUUUCCAAAGAGAAAUAGCAUUAAAUAUAGAAAUUUAAAUAACGAUUGUAAAAAUUUCAAACAAAUUUCACUCCCGAGUGAAGAAAAUAUCUCCUAGAUCAUAUCGCUUGAACAUUGCAUCUAUUCCCUAUAUAACUUUUUUCAUUAAUCAAUUAAUAAUAGAUAAUGGAAGAAAGAUUUAUUAAUCGUAUCAAAAACGGUAAUAAAUUCGUGGUCCAGCUAAUAAGGGCGUUAGUGUUGAAGGAAGGGAGAAAAGGGAGCAAUAAUAACGAGAAAGAUAGCAACUGAAGGUUUAGUGGACAAGGGUUAACGGGGUGAGGGAAAGCGGAUGGAGGCUGAAGCCACGUGCUGCUGUCACUGGCACAGAUUAUAUUAUAUAGGAAUGGCAGCGAAUAGGUGUAGAUAUAAGCGUCGAGCGGCAGUUAAUAAAUAUGAUAAUGGCGGGUGAAGCGAGAGAAAGAGAGGUACGUGUGGGGUGCGAUAUGGGAUACCAGUGUAUAAGAGUGACCACCAGAAGCAGAGGCCUGUCACUGUCAGGACCUCUCAUAUGUCAUACGGUAUACGCACGCACACACACAAAGGCACACGCGGCGCACGAUGACAACAUCGAGCGCGAAACGUGUGUGACCAUUUUCCCAUUUUUCUACUUCGAUGUGACGCGAUUAUACGCGAUUUCGAUAACAAAAUUUCUCGGAACAACACGUCGUCAUGUUAAUAGAUUUAUAUAAUUCUAGUAAGUGUUUACGCUCGACACGAUCGAUACAACUCGUACUUUCCUUACUUCAGACUUUUAAGAAGAAACUAUAAGAUUUGGAAAAGAAAUUGUUGAAGGAUCAUCGUGGCGUUGAUUCGCGAAAUUUCAUAAUAUCGUGACGAAAUGUUGGAAGAAAAAGAGAAGGAAGAACACGGCCGGUUUCCCCUCGGCUUUCAUUAAUCUCACUUCCGCAGCAGAAGUCGGAAACAGUUUUCUAUCAACCUUUUCCCUUUUGACCCGGUAAAUUGCGCGCGCGCGUGUACCUGCUCUGUGUAGCCGCUCUUCCAGGAGCAAUUAGUCACGGUGCUCUUGAUAAAUCGCCGGAAUCCUACCCCCGUGGGGUUAAGUCCCGGUUGCAGACCCUCGGCAAAUAUCCAAUAACAACCGGCCGACUCCUGAUGCUCUCUCUCUCUCUUUACCUGUAUGCCGGGCAUUAACCUUCACCUAUCGAAGAGAUCGGCUUACCUUAAUAAUCGUAGCUACACCGUCGCGUUCUAAGGGGGUUACGACGUUACGAGGCCAGGAACACGCGAGGGUGUUUCCAUGGUUGCUAGUCGCCAAGCUGAUUCGUUCCACGCCAUGAGAAACGGGCAUGAUCAAAAAUCGUGAGAGAUGUAAUGAAACAUUCUUAGUAUUUUCUCUUUGUCGGAGAGGAGGAGUAGAGGUUGAUUGUUGAGCUCGAUCGGGGUAUCGGUUUCUCAAUAGGGGAAGGUAAUUAGUCGAGCUUUCGUCGGAUCACUGUUGAAGAGGAUUACAUCUUUUUAUAUGUACACGUAUAAAUUGAAUUAUAAUCCAUGAUAAAAUUUUACGAUAUAACGUGUGCUGAUGAUAAUAUAGGCUUUCAUUCGUGCGGAGAAUUUUUUUAAAAAUAGAGCGAGUGUAUUUGUAAUACGAAGAAAACAAUUGCCUAUUCUGACGACUUGCUGAAUCUUGCUGAUCAGAGUCGUGUCAAUUCAAACGUAUAUUCAAUCCUUUGUCGAAUCUCGAGAGUUAAUAAGAAAAGAGGGGAAAAAUACAAGAGAGAGAGAGAGAAACGUAGGAAAAAUACAGGAUAGGAUAAAUACAUGUUUCGAUGCACUACGUAUAGCAAGUUUAAGUUUCCUUUGAAUAAGUAUCAUUUUAUUAAUAUCUCUGUCGUUAUUUACAAAACUUUGUAAUAAUCUCUAAUUUUUUUUUUUUUCACCGUCACACGCUACUCGCUAUUCGUCAAUUGUUAUAUUUCUUACGCUUUUGUGUGUACCUGUGUACGUAUGAAUCGGUAUUGUACGUGUGUAUUUGUCUUCUCGUGUGUAUGUGUUAUAUUAAUGUCGAUAAUGCUCGAGUUCGCUAAAAAUCGUUUACAGUAGAACGCGAAAUCCUUCACGGGCUCCGUCCGUUGAAAUUCACCUCUUUUCAACUUCGGGGCCGGCUUCCACCACUUAUCUCACACUCCUUCUAUCUUCGUCGCGUGUGCGCCUAAACAUCGGCAUACCACAUAUUAUAUUUACACCAUCGAAUUCACACCUGUGACCUCGUUAUCACAGCGCGCACCUUUUCACUCGCUCGCACGCUCACACACACACACACACACUCUCUCUCUCUCUCCUUUUCAUAUCCGGCACGUUUUGUUUUUCAUCUUCGUCGUUGUCGACCGUGGAAAAUCGAUUCUCUUCUACGCGAGCGAACCGCGCGCGUCACAAUUUCGCGACGGAUGCGAGAAAUAUAUAUCUCC